ACGGAGGGUGCAAGCGUUAAUCGGAAUUACUGGGCGUAAAGCGUGCGUAGGCGGUUCGUUAAGUCUGCUGUGAAAGCCCCGGGCUCAACCUGGGAAUGGCAGUGGAUACUGGCGAGCUAGAGUGUGAUAGAGGAUGGUGGAAUUCCCGGUGUAGCGGUGAAAUGCGUAGAGAUCGGGAGGAACAUCAGUGGCGAAGGCGGCCAUCUGGAUCAACACUGACGCUGAGGCACGAAAGCGUGGGGAGCAAACAG
rnacentral:rRNA from 1 species